GUCGCGUGAUUGUAUACGACCUUAGAGUUUGAUCAUGGCUCAGAUUGAACGCUAGCGGGAUGCUUUACACAUGCAAGUCGAACGGCAGCACGAGAGAGCUUGCUCUCUUGGUGGCGAGUGGCGGACGGGUGAGUAAUAUAUCGGAACGUGCCCAGUAGCGGGGGAUAACUACUCGAAAGAGUGGCUAAUACCGCAUACGCCCUACGGGGGAAAGGGGGGGAUCGCAAGACCUCUCACUAUUGGAGCGGCCGAUAUCGGAUUAGCUAGUUGGUGGGGUAAAGGCUCACCAAGGCAACGAUCCGUAGCUGGUUUGAGAGGACGACCAGCCACACUGGGACUGAGACACGGCCCAGACUCCUACGGGAGGCAGCAGUGGGGAACUUUGGACAAUGGGGGAAACCCUGAUCCAGCCAUCCCGCGUGUAUGAUGAAGGCCUUCGGGUUGUAAAGUACUUUUGGCAGAGAAGAAAAGGUAUCUCCUAAUACGAGGUACUGCUGACGGUAUCUGCAGAAUAAGCACCGGCUAACUACGUGCCAGCAGCCGCGGUAAUACGUAGGGUGCAAGCGUUAAUCGGAAUUACUGGGCGUAAAGCGUGUGUAGGCGGUUCGGAAAGAAAGAUGUGAAAUCCCAGGGCUCAACCUUGGAACGGCAUUUUUAACUGCCGAGCUAGAGUAUGUCAGAGGGGGGUAGAAUUCCACGUGUAGCAGUGAAAUGCGUAGAUAUGUGGAGGAAUACCGAUGGCGAAGGCAGCCCCCUGGGAUAAUACUGACGCUCAGACACGAAAGCGUGGGGAGCAAACAGGAUUAGAUACCCUGGUAGUCCACGCCCUAAACGAUGUCAACUAGCUGUUGGGGCCGUUAGGCCUUAGUAGCGCAGCUAACGCGUGAAGUUGACCGCCUGGGGAGUACGGUCGCAAGAUUAAAACUCAAAGGAAUUGACGGGACCCGCACAAGCGGUGGAUGAUGUGGAUUAUUCGAUGCACGCGAAAACCUUACCUACCCUUGACAUGUCUGGAAGCCGAAGAAGAUUUGGCCGUGCUCGCAAGAGAACCGGAACACAGUGGCU
rnacentral:rRNA from 1 species